rnacentral:lncRNA from 1 species
AGUCUGUACAAGAGGUUUCUGUGAACAUGUGAACCAAAAAUUAUUGCACUGCAUGCAGCAGGGAAUUUAGAAUAUCGUGCCAAA